AUCUAUCUGUCGAGUCUCAAAUAGGACGAAAUUCGCGUCAUGGAU
rfam:Schistosoma haematobium scaffold502_24, whole genome shotgun sequence.